AACAUGGACCAUUUAUGCUAUUGUUUUUCGUAGGUUCGAGCUAAACACAAGGAAGUUUGUCUUCAAAAAGAUAGUCCCCUGGGAGAAACAAUCCUUGUAUGUUACAAUUGUGGUUGUCGAAAUGCUUUCCUUCUUGGAUGCAUCUCUGCCAAGACAGAGAGUGUUGUCGUUCUUUUGUGCAGAGAGCCUUGUCUCAGUGUCAAUGCAUUGAAGGAUAUGAAUUGGGACCUGAGUCAGUGGUGUUCCCUUAUAUAUACCUUUUUCCCAAAGUUGCUAAACUUGUACACUUUGUUAAAGCUAAAAGUACACUUUAUGUUGUAGGCAGAUAAUGAGUUGCGUCUUGUACCUGGUGAUGAGUUGCGGCUACGCUAUUUAGGAGAUGCAACUCAUGCGGCAGUCAGUAGGGCAUGUGCCUCAGCUGCGAAGAACAAGGGGAUGGAUAAUUACAAACAGGGGAAGUAUGCUGAUGCCAUAAAGUGGCUUUCUUGGGCUGUGAUUCUUCUUGAGAAGACUUGUGAUGGUGCUAACCCUUGAACAAAUCAACUUGGCUGAUGUCAAGUACCCACUGGAGCAUUUUAAGUUAAAGCUUUGGACUGCUGGAAACAUAUUUUUCAGAGAGAUCUGUGUUCUCAAGCCCUUUGCAUAUACAUAAGUCAACUUCACUUAUUGGUUACAGUUAGAAUGUAAAAUGAAGGAAUUUAGGGUUGGGAUUUAGGAGGAAGAAGAAGAAGAUUAAGAAGAAAGAGAAAUUUUAUAUAUAUAUUGGCGCUGUUUGGGAAGUUGGAGGAUCCAACUGAGAACAGGAGGGGAGAGAAUCAGCAACUCGGAUUGACGAUGGGAGAGAACUAGCAGAAUCACAGGGUUCCAGAGUCAGCUACGAAUGCCAAUGCCGAUGGGCAUGCCAACACGAAGACAAAUAUGAUGGAUUUGAAUAUGCAGCCACAUCAGAUACAUGAACAGGCUUCAAAUAAUCAGGUUAGAUUGUCUCCGUUGUUUAUCUAUCAGAAACAGAUUUUGAAUUUUGUUUUAAUUUGAACUCUAUUAACAGAUCAGUGUCCCAGUGGAAUGGUUACACUUUGCAUUAGCAUUUGAAUGCACUUAUUGUUCAUAUCAAUUGGACCGCACUACUCCAUUCAAAUGUAU